AUGAACGCUAGCGGCAGGCUUAACACAUGCAAGUCGAGGGGCAGCAUGAGAGCGUAGCAAUACAUCUUGAUGGCGACCGGCGCAAGGGUGCGUAACGCGUGAGCAACUUGCCCGCAUCAGGGGCAUAAUCGGUGGAAACGCCGUCUAACUCCCCAUAACAUACGAGGUGGCAUCACUUUGUAUUGAAAUCCUUGGAGGAUGCGGAUGGGCUCGCGUGACAUUAGGCAGUUGGCGGGGUAACGGCCCACCAAACCUACGAUGUCUAGGGGAACUGAGAGGUUAAUCCCCCACACUGGAACUGAGACACGGUCCAGACUCCUACGGGAGGCAGCAGUGAGGAAUAUUGGACAAUGGAGGGAACUCUGAUCCAGCCAUGCCGCGUGCAAGGAUAAGGUCCUAUGGAUUGUAAACUGUCUUUUGUACGGGAGCAAUAAGGUCCACGUGUGGGUCGAUGAGAGUACCGUACGAAUAAGCAUCGGCUAACUCCGUGCCAGCCGCCGC
rnacentral:rRNA from 1 species